rnacentral:rRNA from 1 species
AGAGUGAACGCUGGCGGCAGGCCUAAUACAUGCAAGUCGAACGGCAGCACGGCAGAGCUUGCUCUGUGGGUGGCGAGUGGCGGACGGGUGAGGAAUACAUGGGAAUCUGCCCAGUCGUGGGGGAUAACGUAGGGAAACUUACGCUAAUACCGCAUGCGCCCUUCGGGGGAAAGCCGGGGACCUUCGGGCCUGGCGCGAUUGGAUGAGCCCAUGUCGGAUUAGCUAGUUGGCGGGGUAACGCCCACCAAGGCGACGAUCCGUAGCUGGUCUGAGAGGAUGAUCAGCCACACUGGAACUGAGACACGGUCCAGACUCCUAACGGGAGCAGCAGUAGGGAAUAUUGGACAAGUGGGCACAAACCUGGUCCAGCCAAUCGCCGCGUGAGUGAAGAAGGCCUUGGUUGACAAAGCUCGUUUGUACCGAAAGAAAAGCCGUACGGUCAACGUACCCCGGAGUACCUGAACCGGUACCGAAGAAUAAGCACCGGACUAACGUCGUGCCAGCAGCCG